UCUCUAGCUAUGUUGAGACGCGGCAGACGGCUCAGUAACGCGUGGCUAACCUACCCUCAGGACGAAGAUAACCCCGGGAAACUGGGGAUAAUAUUCGAUAGGUGAGGAUGUCUGGAAUGACUUCUCUCCUAAAGGACUAAGAUACAUGCUUCUAUGUCGCCUGGGGAUGGGGCCGCGCCCGAUCAGGUUGUUGGUGAGGUAACGGCUCACCAAGCCUAUAACCGGUACGGGCCGUGAGAGCGGUAGCCCGGAGAUGGGUACUGAGACAAGGACCCAGGCCCUACGGGGCGCAGCAGUCGCGAAAACUCCGCAAUGCACGAAAGUGUGACGGGGCUACCCCGAGUGCCGUCCGCUGAGGAUGGCUUUUCUUUGGUAUAACUAGCCAUUGGAAUAAGGAGAGGGCAAGACUGGUGUCAGCCGCCGCGGUAAUACCAGCUCUCCGAGUGGUAGGGAUGAUUAUUGGGCUUAAAGCGUCCGUAGCCGGCUUAGCAAGUUUCCUGUUAAACUCAGCGACUCAAUCGUUGGAUCGCGGGAAAUACUACUAGGCUAGGAGGCGGGAGAGGU
rnacentral:rRNA from 1 species